rnacentral:sRNA from 1 species
CACUUCCGGCCGGGACCCCGGAGGCGGAGGCGGCGGCGGCAGCGUAGCCGUAGAGGUGCACAGAGAAUACCCCUAGCAUGAACAGUGUGAGGAUUCCACCAGCUUUUUCACCAUGAAGGAGACAGACCGGGAGGCCGUUGCAACAGCAGUGCAAAGGGUUGCUGGGAUGCUCCAACGCCCGGACCAGCUGGACAAGGUGGAGCAGUAUCGCAGGAGAGAAGCGCGGAAGAAGGCCUCUGUGGAGGCCAGAUUGAAGAGAGCGGAUCUGAAGCUCAGGUGCCGAUUCUGUCCUGUGGGUCAGCCAUCCUGGGGCCAAGUGUGGUCCUGGCUGAACAGCAGGAACUCCCCCGCCCCAAGCCAGUGAAGUCCUGACCGUUUUCUCUGCCUAGAUAAGACCUUUUAGGAAACUAGGAUGCCUGGGAGAGCAUGGGUGACAUCCUUCUGAAGGUACCAUAGCAGGCCAUGGUCCAGGGCAGACUGGUGGUAGUGUCCAGGAUCACCAGGUGUAAGGCUAGAUGAGGAGUGUCCUGACGUCUUCUCAUCAAGGCUUUAA